UGCCAGCCGCCGCGGUAAUACGGAGGGGGCUAGCGUUAUUCGGAGUUACUGGGCGUAAAGCGCACGUAGGCGGAUUGGAAAGUUGGAGGUGAAAUCCCAGGGCUCAACCUUGGAACUGCCUUCAAAACUUCCAGUCUUGAGUUCGAGAGAGGUGAGUGGAAUUCCGAGUGUAGAGGUGAAAUUCGUAGAUAUUCGGAGGAACACCAGUGGCGAAGGCGGCUCACUGGCUCGAUACUGACGCUGAGGUGCGAAAGCGUGGGGAGCAAACAGGAUUAGAUA
rnacentral:rRNA from 1 species